UCGGUUUAAUAAAACAAAGUUUCCCUUUAAUGAUGGUUUCUACAAUGAGUCUCUAAUUGAAUCUAUGCGGGGUAUUCCUCAACAUUCUGUGCUUCCUCUGGUUGUAACUAGUGAUUCUUGUGGGCACACGACAGCACAAGCAACUCCCAGGUCAAACAGAAACUCUAGUAUGGUGUCUUCUCAUAAACAGUCGCAACCCACUCAGUCUUCUUCUAGUACUUCUGCUAGUUUCCCAACAGUAGUUAAAGAAACCUAUUAUUGUUGAUUGAAUUGAGGGUAUUGCAGCAGC
rnacentral:lncRNA from 1 species